rnacentral:rRNA from 1 species
CCUACGGGGGGCUGCAGUCGAGAAUAGUCUACAAUGGUCGAAAGACUGAUAGUGCGACGCCGCGUGAACGAAGAAGCCCUUCGGGGUGUAAAGUUCUUUUAUAUGUGAGCAGUGCUUUCUAUGUGAACAGCAUGGGGAGAGAGAUAUUAGCAUAUGAAUAAGCAACGGCUAACUCCGUGCCAGCAGCCGCGGUAACACGGGGGUUGCGAGCGUUGUCCGGAAUUACUAGGCGUAAAGGGCAGGCAGGCGGAUCUAUAAGUUUUUUGUUUAAGGCGACAGCUUAACUGUCGUACGGCAGGAGAUACUGUAGAUCUGGAAUGCGGUUGGGGAAGACAGAAUUCCUGGUGUAGCGGUGGAAUGCGCAGAGAUCAGGAGGAAUACCGAAGGCGAAGGCAGUCUUCCAAGCCGUAAUUGACGCUAAACUGCGAAGGUGUGGGUAUCAAACAGGAUUAGAUACCCUAGUAGUC